CGUUGUGACACAUGAGGGGUAACAAACAAACACAAUCAUAAAUCACAAAACAAUGCAGUACAGUCUAGUUUGUUAAUAAACUAAACACUAAAGAAGAAAAUCAAAACCAUUAAACCCUAAACUCAAAUAUUUAAUUAAAUACAAAUACUUUGUUUUUAAAUUGAAGAAAACACACAUUCUCCCCUUCAGCAGGGAGUGGUGGUGUGGUCCAAUUAUCCCUCUUUGCAUUUAGUGGUUUCAAACCCUGGCUACCAUCUUUUGUCCAGCAACUCCCGGGGAUGAUGGCAGUGCCCCAAGCAGAUUAGGGCACAGCAGGCGUGAUGCCAACUCAUGCAGCUUCUCCUUAGAAGUCACUCAGCGCCCCGUCCGUGUAGACAAAGAGCAAUAAUGGGAGAAAAAAGACACAGACUAGGCUCCUCCAGGCAGACCCAUUGCUAACCAGCCUCUGAGUGCUGAAUGAGAAGGCAGACCCCCGCCAUGCCAGAUUCACCAGGUCUUUCUCCCAGUGAGAGCGAUGAUUCAGCUUCUCAUCUGGGUCCUGUGCCAGUAUAGCAUUUACUAGCAGAUGGAUAAACAGGUUUGGAAAUCCCCUCCCUGUACUAAGACUCAUGGUCCAGGCCUGCAGAGGUGACAAAGAGAGACUCGCCCUUCAAACUAAUGAUUCAUCAAUAAUGUUUAGCCAGAAUUGAAGCAUCUGAAUACACAGCAUGUCUGUGCUCUGGCACUCCUUGAGGCAAAGAUCUAACAGCUCCAACCAGAUGUUUUGGCUGUGCUCCAGUUGUUGUUUGUUGGGUAAAAACUGGUUAAUUAAAGUUAAUUAUGAGUUUGUUUUGCUUUGUAGUUUUAAUUGGCAUGUUUAUCUCUGUUUACUUCAUACAGCUCAUAUCAUCUUAAUAAUAGUAUGCAGGUUGAACGCCACAACUGGUUGUCUUAAGGUUGACUUAAAAUAAAGAAUACAAACCAAACUGUGAAUGUUGGGAGUUAAAUUAACUUCAAGGUGAUUGGCUGAUGACCAAAGCACGUCAUAGUUUGGAACCAUUUACAUGUUUGUAUUUUAGUAUAAAUGUCUGACUGUAUGGUUGAUUUGAAAAUGUAAAGUUAUUUUUAACGCGUGGCUUUUAUUCAAACUCUGAAGCACUUUGUAACUCUGUGUUUGGAUAAAAGUCCAUCAAGUUAUGAACCCAUCAGCACAUCCAUGAUUCUUAUAUCACCUUCCAAAGGUGCUCCA